rnacentral:rRNA from 1 species
CAAGUCGAACGCGAAAGUGGAGCAAUCCAUGAGUAGAGUGGCAAACGGGUGAGUAACGCGUGGGUGACCUGCCUUCGAGCGGGGGAUAACGUUUCGAAAGGAACGCUAAUACCGCAUGACAUCCUGCCUUUGAAGAGGUGGAGAUCAAAGCUGGGGAUCGCAAGACCUAGCGCUUGAAGAGGGGCCCGCGUCUGAUUAGCUAGUUGGUGAGGUAACGGCUCACCAAGGCGACGAUCAGUAUCCGGCCUGAGAGGGCGGACGGACACACUGGGACUGAGACACGGCCCAGACUCCUACGGGAGGCAGCAGUGGGGAAUUGUUCGCAAUGGGCGCAAGCCUGACGACGCAACGCCGCGUGGAGGAUGAAGACCUUCGGGUCGUAAACUCCUUUCGAUCGAGACGAAAGACUUCCGGGUGAACAAUCCGGGAGAGUGACGGUACCGAGAGAAGAAGCCCCGGCUAACUCCGUGCCAGCAGCCGCGGUAAUACGGGGGGGGCAAGCGUUGUUCGGAAUUACUGGGCGUAAAGGGCUCGUAGGCGGCCAACUAAGUCAGACGUGAAAUCCCUCGGCUUAACCGGGGAACUGCGUCUGAUACUGGAUGGCUUGAGGUUGGGAGAGGGAUGCGGAAUUCCAGGUGUAGCGGUGAAAUGCGUAGAUAUCUGGAGGAACACCGGUGGCGAAGGCGGCAUCCUGGACCAAUUCUGACGCUGAGUGAGCGAAAGCCAGGGGAGCAAACGGGAUUAGAUACCCCGGUAGUCCUGGCCCUAAACGAUGAAUGCUUGGUGUGGCGGGUAUCGAUCCCUGCCGUGCCGAAGCUAACGCAUUAAGCAUUCCGCCUGGGGA